UCCGGGGUAACUCAAUGGUAGAGUACUUCGCUGUUAACGAAGGAGUUGUGGGUUCGAGUCCCACCCCCGGAG
rnacentral:tRNA from 1 species